AUGAACGCUGGCGGCGUGCCUAAUACAUGCAAGUCGAGCGAACAGACGAGGAGCUUGCUCCUCUGACGUUAGCGGCGGACGGGUGAGUAACACGUGGAUAACCUACCUAUAAGACUGGGAUAACUUCGGGAAACCGGAGCUAAUACCGGAUAAUAUAUUGAACCGCAUGGUUCAAUAGUGAAAGACGGUUUUGCUGUCACUUAUAGAUGGAUCCGCGCCGCAUUAGCUAGUUGGUAAGGUAACGGCUUACCAAGGCAACGAUGCGUAGCCGACCUGAGAGGGUGAUUGGCCACACUGGAACUGAGACACGGUCCAGACUCCUACGGGAGGCAGCAGUAGGGAAUCUUCCGCAAUGGGCGAAAGCUUGACGGAGCAACGCCGCGUGAGUGAUGAAGGUCUUCGGAUCGUAAAACUCUGUUAUUAGGGAAGAACAAAUGUGUAAGUAACUAUGCACGUCUUGACGGUACCUAAUCAGAAAGCCACGGCUAACUACGUG
rnacentral:rRNA from 1 species